rnacentral:misc_RNA from 1 species
UCCGGCUUGUGGCCGGCUGUCUCUUUAGAGUUCCGCCUUGCGGCAUGGCAACUAAAGAUAAGGGUUGCGCUCGUUGCGGGACUUAACCCAACAUCUCACGACACGAGCUGACGACAGCCAUGCAGCACCUAUGCAGCGGCCCCUUGCGGGGCACCGGACUUUCAUCCGAUUUCCACUACACUUCGAGCCCAGGUAAGGUUCUUCGCGUUGCGUCGAAUUAAACCACAUGCUCCACCGCUUGUGCGGGCCCCCGUCAAUUCCUUUGAGUUUCAGUCUUGCGACCGUACUCCCCAGGCGGAACACUUAAUGCGUUAGCUCCGGCACAGCGGGAUUCGAUACCCGCUAUACCAAGUGUUCAUCGUUUACAGCCAGGACUAC